AUUGAACGCUGGCGGCAUGCUUUACACAUGCAAGUCGGACGGCAGCAUAAGAGAGCUUGCUCUUUUGAUGGCGAGUGGCGAACGGGUGAGUAAUGCAUCGGAACGUACCGAGUAGUGGGGGAUAACUGUCCGAAAGGAUGGCUAAUACCGCAUAUUCUCUGAGGAGGAAAGCAGGGGACCUUAGGGCCUUGCGCUAUUUGAGCGGCCGAUGUCUGAUUAGCUAGUUGGUGGGGUAAGAGCCCACCAAGGCGACGAUCAGUAGCGGGUCUGAGAGGAUGAUCCGCCACACUGGGACUGAGACACGGCCCAGACUCCUACGGGAGGCAGCAGUGGGGAAUUUUGGACAAUGGGCGCAAGCCUGAUCCAGCCAUGCCGCGUGUAUGAAGAAGGCCUUCGGGUUGUAAAGUACUUUUGUCAGGGAAGAAAAGCCUGAGGAUAACACCCUCAGGUCAUGACGGUACCUGAAGAAUAAGCACCGGCUAACUACGUGCCAGCAGCCGCGGUAAUACGUAGGGUGCGAGCGUUAAUCGGAAUUACUGGGCGUAAAGCGAGCGCAGACGGUUAUUUAAGCAAGAUGUGAAAGCCCCGGGCUCAACCUGGGAACUGCGUUUUGAACUGGGUAACUAGAGUGUGUCAGAGGGGGGUAGAAUUCCACGUGUAGCAGUGAAAUGCGUAGAGAUGUGGAGGAAUACCGAUGGCGAAGGCAGCCCCCUGGGAUAACACUGACGUUCAUGCUCGAAAGCGUGGGUAGCAAACAGG
rnacentral:rRNA from 1 species